CAUACAAUAUAUUUCUUAUAACACUUACCCAUACAGUUGACCAUUUCUAUCUUGUAAUGUUACCCAACUGGCAUAACAGUUCAUGCCAUGCAUUGCAUUGUAAAGUGAAAUUAAAGUGUCAGGUCACUUAAUGUCUUAACAUUAUAUUCUUUUUUGCCUGGGUUAGCAGACAGCACCAGCCAGCUUGUCCUUGGAAACGGAGAAUAGACCCACCUCCUUAUGUCCUCCAGGCAGCAAGAUUUCAGACACUCGUCCACCAGCAAAACGAGUCUGGGCAACCGAUGAUUUCCACACGGCAUCAAAUUCUCCACCUAAAAAGCCUUUCCACAACACAAAUGAACAACUACUGACAGAGGAGCUACAGAGAAACGCAGUUCAGCACUUCUGGUGUGUCAGUGCAACUCAUUGUCAAAGUGAUGAAAGGUACACAGAAUUCUCUCGAAAUCAUCAGUGCACAUGUAAUGCCCUCACAUUCCUGGCCUACCUUAAUGAGGAACACCAGUUCAACACAGCCCGACUUGAUAAGGUGCUUGAACAGGGAGAUGCACUCUACUGUUGGAUUAAAACAAAUCUUCAGCAGGAGAGGCGUUAUACACAAAAUCAUCUGACCAUGGAGGACCUGCCCAAAGAAGUUCAUGCUGACAUAAAUGUCUA